rnacentral:rRNA from 1 species
GACGAACGCUGGCGGCGUGCCUAAUACAUGCAAGUAGAACGCACAGUUUAUACCGUAGCUUGCUACACCAUAGACUGUGAGUUGCGAACGGGUGAGUAACGCGUAGGUAACCUGCCUGGUAGCGGGGGAUAACUAUUGGAAACGAUAGCUAAUACCGCAUAAUAUUAAUUAUUGCAUGAUAAUUAAUUGAAAGGUGCAAUUGCACCACUACCAGAUGGACCUGCGUUGUAUUAGCUAGUAGGUGAGGUAACGGCUCACCUAGGCGACGAUACAUAGCCGACCUGAGAGGGUGAUCGGCCACACUGGGACUGAGACACGGCCCAGACUCCUACGGGAGGCAGCAGUAGGGAAUCUUCGGCAACGGACGAAAGUCUGACCGAGCAACGCCGCGUGAGUGAAGAAGGUUUUCGGAUCGUAAAGCUCUGUUGUAAGAGAAGAACGGGUGUGAGAGUGGAAAGUUCACACUGUGACGGUAUCUUACCAGAAAGGGACGGCUAACUACGUG